rnacentral:rRNA from 1 species
UACAGAGGUCUCAAGCGUUGUUCGGAAUCACUGGGCGUAAAGGGUGUGUAGGCUGCGUGUUAAGUCAGAUGUGAAAUCCCGGGGCUCAACCUCGGAACUGCAUCCGAUACUGGCAUGCUAGAGAAUUGGAGAGGAGUCUAGAAUUCACGGUGUAGCAGUGAAAUGCGUAGAUAUCGUGAGGAAUACCAAGUGCGAAGGCAGGACUCUGGACAUUUCUGACGCUGAGACACGAAGGCUAGGGGAGCAAACGGG